rnacentral:lncRNA from 1 species
CAGGGUCACGUUGUCACCCACAAAACAGGUCUUUGGGGGCUCCAAUUCCAGCGAGGGGACUUUUAUCUCCACAGAGCAUGCAGGCUCCUCCUGCUCAACAACGUGGCUCCCGACACACUUGAACACUUUGCGGUGCGAGAGGUGGGAGCUGUUCAGUGUCUCCACGUGGGUGUCUGAGGAGCUCGUGGAGCUGAUGAGCCAGCUGGAGUUCUCCAGAUCGUGCCCCUCUUCUGUCCAGUGCAGGGUGGGGUGGGGAUAACCCCCGGGCCAACUGCAAAACAGCUGCAGCAUCAGCCCUGAGGAGGAGGUCUCAGCCCAGCACUUUGGGGUGGACCGUGGUGGAUCUGUCAGCAAGAAGGGAACACAGACAGAAACAUAUCCAAGUCACUUGGUGUCCCAGGGCUGGAACCUCUGCAAAAGCUUGGUUUUGCAAUCAUUCUCCUUGAAAGUCUC